GUGGGGAAUUUUGGACAAUGGGCGCAAGCCUGAUCCAGCAAUGCCGCGUGUGUGAAGAAGGCCUUCGGGUUGUAAAGCACUUUUGGCAGGAAAGAAAUAGCGCGUGCUAAUACCAUGCGCGAAUGACGGUACCUGCAGAAUAAGCACCGGCUAACUACGUGCCAGCAGCCGCGGUAAGACGUAGGGUGCAAGCGUUAAUCGGAAUUACUGGGCGUAAAGCGUGCGCAGGCGGUUUUGUAAGACAGGUGUGAAAUCCCCGGGCUCAACCUGGGAACUGCACUUGUGACUGCAAGGCUAGAGUGUGUCAGAGGGAGGUGGAAUUCCGCGUGUAGCAGUGAAAUGCGUAGAGAUGCGGAGGAACACCGAUGGCGAAGGCAGCCUCCUGGGAUAACACUGACGCUCAGGCACGAAAGCGUGGGGAGCAAACAGGAUUAGAUACCCGAGUAGUCC
rnacentral:rRNA from 1 species